rnacentral:lncRNA from 1 species
ACACGAGGCAGCAAAUCCGAACAGGCAAAGGCCUCACUCUCCAGUGCAGUCUGGGAGGACUGAUCAGGGAAGAACAGAUCAGGGUGAAGAACAGAAAGGUGAGCUCUGAUCCUGGAACUUCUUCCCUGCGCUCUGCCAGCUCCCACCUCGCCACCACCCUGGGUUCUGGAACCACGCCAAGCAGGGCAGAAACCGAAGUGCUUUUGGAAGUCCACAGGGAUUCCCACACCCACCACAGCCCAAUUUCAUCUGCCCACAGUUGCUCCCUGAACUCAGUGGCUCUGCCGCAGCAGGGAGAUGGUCUGAAGGACAGGCGUGGGGGCAGAAGAAGACCCCAAGGCAUCUCCCCAAGAUGACCACAGUUGUCCCUGAAGAAGCAGUCACAGCAAGCUCACUUCACAGGAACCAAGCUGUGGGCUGAUCCUACAGACUUGAAAAGACAACUCAAAAAGAUUGUCUGUGGGGUCAGAAACAGCUCUGGAGGGGUCUGCAGAAAUUACUUUCCCAAGUCUUUGGGCUGGAAGGAACGAACAGUGCCUGACCAAGGACUUUGAGCAGGAGAGAGAUGGGAGCAGAGAGGAGCCAAGGUCUACUAUUUUCACUUCUGUCAAUUAGAUCAAAGCCCUGCCCAGAAGCUUUGAGCGCCGCUGUCAAGUCCCAUUCCUCCCCUAAACCAUCCAGGUUCCAUCUGCCUUGAAGCCAAAGGAUCUUCUUAGAUUCCUCAAGAAAAAUUCAGGCCCCGAGUUUCUCCACCAGCACUCUCCUCUCCCCGAAGGAGUGGGUGGGCUGCAUUUCUCUUCAUAUUCUAUUCCAUUCCAGACCGUCUUGGACUACCAGCCUGUCCGCCACCCCUCGGGGCCCUCCCUCCUACUCUGCCCUUGCCCGCUGAGGUCCCAAGCUGAGGAGAUGAGCCGAGCAGUAAAAAGAGAGGAGGUUUGGAAAAGCAAUGUCCUCUCAGUCUUUAAUAGGUGGCCCCCCUGGGAACCUGCUGGAAGUGGAAGUUAAUAAGCUGAAGGUGGUCACAACCAAUCUCUGCCACACUCGCACCCUACCCCACCCCAAAUCAUUCCUUUUAAUUAAUAGUGGAAGACCUUUUUAAAAAUGUAACAUGAAUUGGCUAUUUCUUGAGGCAAACAAAAGGUGGCUCUGAAGCGAUAUAUUUGUACUCGUAUAAAUUCAUUAAAAUAGAAAGCUUAUAA